rnacentral:miRNA from 1 species
AUGACCUACAAAUUGACAGACG